GAUUAAUGUUCUUGUUCGGAGCACACCGCAAAUAUGCUGACUCCCGUCCAGCGCGCUUGUUGUUGAAUAAAGCACAUGGGGCGGCCUAUUUUCAGAAGCCAGAUGUGUGAUGGAACAGCAGACGGCUGUGGGAGGGCUGAUUGAGGUGCAAGUUUGCAAGAGACACACACACACGUGAACGCACAGAGCCUGGAGGACAGCAUAAGUACCGUGGUCAAUUUGCUGCCCGAGUCAUGAGCCGGAAUGGAAACUCUAAUGAAAUCUAUUCAUCACGCAACGGCACUGGAAGCUGGAGAUGGGAAAGGAAAGAGAAAGAUGGAAAUAAAAAGAGAGAAGAAAAGCCAUUGUGCAGAAAUGUUUUCCUGGCUGCUUAAACAGGAAGAUGGAUGUGAUCUGGGAGAUGCUGAGGCGGUGUGGAAGCUCUGACCUGACCCACAUCUAUUUUACAAAUAAAUAGAUAUGUGUCCACAGUGCCUCUUAUUUAAAUAAUGAUUAACCA